ACGUCGGUUCGGUGUAAGUACUUUCAGUCGUGAGGAAGGCGGCGUCGUUAAUAGCGGCGUUGUUUGACGUUAGCGACAGAAGAAGCACCGGCUAACUCCGUGCCAGCAGCCGCGGUAAUACGGAGGGUGCGAGCGUUAAUCGGAAUUACUGGGCGUAAAGCGCAUGCAGGUGGUUUGUUUAAGUCAGAUGUGAAAGACCCGGGGGCUCAACCUCGGAAUUGCAUUUGUAAACUAGGCAGACUAGAGUACUGUAGAGGGGGGUAGGAAUUUCAGGUGUAGCGGUGAAAUAGCGUAGAGAUCUGAAGGAAUACCGGUGGCGAAGGCGGCCCCCUCGGACAGAUACUGACACUCAGAUGCGAAAGCGUGGGGAGCAAACAGGAUUAGAUACCCUGGUAG
rnacentral:rRNA from 1 species